GAAGGGUAUUUCGAUAAUUUUAUCCGGUCCAACUUUUUUUCUCCUUCUACGUACAUUCUACACAGAUCCUUUUCAUUCUACAUACAUCCUACGCAGAUCCUAGAUUUUUUCUCACUCUAAAACCUCUGGAACUGUCCAUCUUCGUCUUCACCCUCAAUUCAUGUCUCUGGAAGUAUCCAUCUUCGUCUUCACCCUUGAGGUUUUUGCUGUCUACAGUGGAUGGAAUUUCAACCCAGAAUAAAGAAUGAGGCCAACAGGGAGAAGGGAUUUCUUGGAGGGUGGUUGCCCUCUCUGCUUGGCCUAUGAUUUCUCCAUCUACCAAAUCAACAACCCUCUUCAGAAAAAAACAGGCAAGUAUGUUUGGUGAUUCUGAUAGUCGAGAUACUAUCUUUUUGAGCUUAAGCCUUGAGGCAAUGUUUUUGGUCCAAAACAUGCCCAGAUCUAAAGGUUGCGUUUGUUUGAUGAGAAUUUUUUAACAUGUCCAAAUGGCUCCUAGAACUAUGGAAAAGUUUCCAUUUCUCGAAAAAGGUAAUGAUGAUAUUGCUAAUCGCUGCUGAAGUUUGGGGCAUGGAGAUAGGUGACAGGUGCUCUUGAUUAGAGAAAGAUCAGGGGGUGCUAAUGAUGCAGAUAAAAUAUCUGAUAAAAUGUCCUCCAACAAAAUAGUGCCUACUGCAUCAGGAGAUGGCUCUACAAUAGUUGCUGAUACCUUCAAAUAAUACAUAGAGAUGAUAUAGAUAUGCCAGAUAUGUUCUCUUACUUUCUUAUACUACUUGAACCAUAGGAAGCUGCUCUAUUAUUAGCUAAAGAAAUAGAUAAGGAGAAGCUUAUUUUUCUGUUGUUGCAUGUCUAUGUCUUAGUUAUUUGCUUUGCAACUUGAACUAUUUUGAUGCGUGAUUUCCGUAGGAAUGUGCAACCGUGGUAGUAUCAAUUAUCCUCAAGUCCAACAGAAAUUUCACCUUUAACUUCUAUUUGCGUACAAGCCCAUUGUUUGUGGAUCUCUUUUUCUUCUGAGAUUAAUUAUGAUUUGUGGGUCAAUACUCAGGACAUGUUUAUGUCAAAUAAUAAAAUGUAUAAUGCUAAUUAUUCUUGGUAUAAAGAAUGAAAAUAAAGAACUGAAAAAGAAUAAGAAAGACAACAUUUAGACUACAUGGGAGUAAGAACCUUUUAUAUUUACAUGCUUGGACCAUUUCACAUAUUAGAAUUGCAUUGAGAGUUGAUAAAAGUGCACAUAAAUCCUAUGCUGAGAAUUUUAAAAAUUAAUUGAACAGUGCCCGUGUCAUAGUUCUUUCAUGUUUUAAAAGGUAGAAUAGGGGUGUGCUGCAAUUUUGAAAAGCUGACAGACAAAAAGUGGAAGAACAAUUCUUCCUUUAAUAGUCUUCACAUAAGCAAUAAACAAGACACAUCCUUAUGACCGAUUAGGCUCUUACUGGUACAAUUUUGCAGGUGAGGGUUUCUUUAAGGUAUCAGAUAUUCUCGAUAAUUUGACUUUUUCUUUUUGGAAUUUCGGAAGAUCCAAGUGACCAAAUUAAUAAUGCUAUUGAAAGGGUCCCAAGAGUUAAGUUUGUUGCUGGAGCUUUUGAGUACCCUCCGAGUUGUAAGUCAUUGUUGGAUAUUGUUUGUUGUGAAGUAUGUUUAUAUUGUCUCUUGUCAUCUUUAUAUUGUCUCUUGUCAUCUGUUACUUUAUUUCCUUUCCUCUAUCUUAUUUUGUUGAAUUCUUUAACUAAACUUGAGAAUUCAAUAAAGAACUAGAUUGAGGAACUCCAAAUUGCUUAAAAUGAAACUGAAAAUCCUCUCAAGGAAGAGCAAACUGAAUAUAGAGGUUCACGUCUUCUUUUAGAUUAGACUUCUGGUUGCUCUUAGUUUCAUGAGAAACAUUACGAAUUCAUUAUCUGCUGCAAGAUAAAAGUCAAUUACAGUUACAUGCUCUUUUCUUUGCAUUUAGUUAGAGUUGCAUGUUCUUUUUAUGCUUUGUACCUACCAUUAGAUUUGGACAUGCAUUUGAGUAAUGUCCUCUAGCUGUAUUGUAGAACACAGCUGAAUUUGUUAUCAGUUACAACUACCAAAAUUAUGUUGGUCCACCUAUAAUUCACUAUUUCUGUCUUUCUAGCAAGCACACUGUAUAACUUUGUUCCCCAAACAAAUAUAAUAUACAACGAACCAUAAUAUGUUUUCUUUAUUUUGAUCUCAUUAGUUUAACGUAAAACGCCCGUGCCUUGCACGGGCACGGGCUAUCUAGUACACUAUAUAGAAGCAUGCUUCGUCGUCCGUCGUUCGUCCAUAAAAAAAAAAAAAAAAGUGAAACCCACUAUCUUCAAACUCAAGGAAAAAAAAAACGGAUCUCAUAUUAACAAAAUCAAGCAAUAUAAAAAAAAGUGCA